GUAGGUGAACCUGCGGAAGGAUCAUUAACGAUUUGUCAGCCUUCAGCCGAGCUUGUCUCGCUGUCGGCAUCACAUUUACUAGCCAUGCCUUCGAGCUGGUUGGGAAGAAGCCUUGUGCUUCUAUACACCAAAGCCUUGUCUUGAUAUCCUGGAUAUAUCAUCCUUGAUAGCUUGCUUGGUUCGGUGGCAACGCUGUCAACAAGCUUUGAGCUUGCGGUAGUUGUUGCAUGUCAAUUAAACAAUAGUAACC
rnacentral:misc_RNA from 1 species